UUUGACCCUGUUAGUUUCAGACAGGAGAAGAGUCUUUGAUUUCUAAAUCUCUUGGGUGAGAUUGAUUGGUUGAGAUAUUCCCAGGUAAACCCUCCAUCCUCUCUCCAAAUAGAGUCACUGAGUACAAAUAUGGCAGCCAGGUACCCACCUGUGAGGGUGAGAGGGUAGUUCCCAGAGAUAGGGGGUCGGUCGGGUGGUUGUUAACUCAAGGGCUGAGCAGACCCAACACUGAAGCUUUAGGUAGUAAAGUCACUCUGCUAAGGAGGGAGAAAAUGACAAGAGUGAGUCCCAAAUAGACAAAGGCCAGUCCUCUAUUUUUUCAAUUAUAAUCCCAUUUGGUGCUUUGGGGGAAAAAGCACAGAGACUAUGAAAUUUAAAGGGGGACCUAAGCUAGUCUGGGAUCAGGAACAUUUUGUAUGAGAAUGACCCCUGAGCUGAGAUCUGUAGGAAGGGGAAACUAAUGGCAGGGUUGGGAGACUACGGGAAAGAAUGUUCCCAGUAGAGGUAACUGCAUGGGCAAAGGGCUUGGGUGGGAAUGAAUUGGGAAGUCCACUACUGCACUGAAAACGAUCUUUCUAAGACCCUCUGGCUACAGUAUGAAGAUUGUGGAUGUGUGAGAGCAUACAGGAGAAAGGACUUUCAUCAGCUCAAAUGCCAGCUACAAACUCCACCUUGGGAGAAAAUGUUGCAGACAGACCUUUUGGGAGUCACAAGAGAUGAUGCGAGUAAGAUGAUGGCCUUUUGUAUGGAAGAUUUUAGAGGCUGUGACUCUAAUCAAGUGGCUGGAAGGACAGACCAUCACCCUGGAUGACAGUGCCCUGUGGGCCUUGUGUUUUUGUGCCUCUGGUGAGCAAGACUGCCCUUCAUUCCAGACUGUAAUUUCAAUGAUGCCUGCACAGCAAACAGCCUUACAAAAGAGAAGGUGUCCUCCCCUGGAGCACAAGGCCAGCAUGCUGAGUACUGCCCACGAGAGAGAGACCUGAGUUUCUAUACUACAGCCUACUCCAUGCGCACUCUUUGUUCAGACCCAUAUACAAAAUCUCAGAGCCUUCAAAGACUUUGAUACACCCUUCUUAGAAAUGGUUUACUUUUAUGUUUCAACAUUCUCGUUCUUUCCUGAUGAAUUUACCUAAACAAUGUGGAUACUUUUAUUGUUGAUUAUAACACAGUACCUGUUUUAAAAAAAAAAACUAUUAGUAUCUAAAAGCCUCUUUUAUUCACUUUCCCAACAGGUACCUUCUAAAGGGAUAGUAGGUUUAAGAUAAGUGAAUGGUAAAAAUCUACAAUGGAAACAAAAAAAUCAAGAAAUGACACAGUAGAGGGAUCCCUGGGUGGCGAAGCGGUUUAGCGCCUGCCUUUGGCCCAGGGCGUGAUCCUGGAGACCCAGGAUCAAAUCCCACGUCGGGCUCCCGGUGCAUGGAGCCUGCUUCUCCCUCUGCCUAUGUCUCUGCCUCUCUCUCUGUGUGUGUGUGUGACUAUCAUAAAUAAAUAAAAAUUAAAAAAAAAAAGAAAACGUUUAAAAAAAA